GUCUUCGUGGUAUAAUGGUAGCACAUUUGGCGCGUAUUCAGGAAGGCCAGGUUCGAGUCCCGGCGAGGGCA
rnacentral:tRNA from 1 species